AGGCGCUGAUGUGCAGCUACAUUAUCACGAUCAACCACUUCUCGACGGUGGACAACUGGCCCUGGGCGUGGUACCACCGGCUGCAUAUAACUCUGCAGCCAUCGAUCAACCUCACGGCUCGUAUAGGUAUCUAGGUCUUCGUUCAUCAUAUGCUCGUACUCAUCAGCAUCUCCACCACGGCCACCACCACUACCACCGACAUUACUCAUUUCUCGUUGUUGAUCUUGUACAAAAAUUAAGAUAGAGAGAGUACUCGUUAAAACAAGUGGUGCGAAUGAAAAGGACGUCCAAAGCGCGUAUGUAUAGUGUUUCGAAAAAUAAAAAAAAAAUUAAAAAUCUGACGCCGGUAUGACGCCGAUCCGGGACCUACAAUGGCGCUGUGCGGAUCGGCGUGAGAAUCGGCGUCAGCCCAAGAAUCGGUGUGGGCAUGCCGAUUUUGACGCCGAUUUCGCCGACGCCGGCUUCAAUGGUUCGGCGUCAGCACCGGCGUCCGCGAAAAAUCGGCGUGCCGGUGCUGACGCCGCCAUUGGAGAUUCUCUUAUGGAUGCUUAGUACCUUAGUUCAUUUAUGGAAUUCGUUUCUUGUGGCAGGUGCACAAGAAUGGCAGAGCUUGUGUGACUGAAACUCACGGCUAUUGCAGUUGAAGGACUGCUCUGUUGUCUCGUGGCAGCCCUUACUUAGGCUGGGAAGUGCAGGAGGUGCAGCCCCUCAUUCUUGCCUAUUUUGGAAAGUUUUGGUCUUCAUCAAAAACUGAAUUGUUUUGAUGGAGUGGAGGAGUAGUUGGCUGGAAUGGCCUCUCGCGUCACGGUUUGUUGCUCUUGGCCCGACGGCCGAUCGAAGACAAGGUUGCGGUGCGGUGUGCCUUGGCUCGGAAAGACUCAAGCAUUCUCACUUAAUAUUCCUCGUGUUGUCUUCCUUCAUUUUCAUUAUUAUACAUUUGUAAGCUAGGACGUAGUUCGGGAUGUAAUACGUUGUAUUUUAUUCACUUAAGGAAUAAACGAACACACUUCCAUUUUA